GGCAUUUCAGGAGUGACAGAAAGACAGAGUAACCCCCUAGGCAGACACUCUAUAGAGGGGAGAGAAGAGGAGGAGAGGAACACAGAACCCAAUCAAGGACCUGACUCCCACAUAAAAGUGGAAAGGAGAGAAAGAGACACCCCCCCACACACAACUACUCUUAUCUUCUGAGGUUAUGAGUAAGGGCAGAAGAGUACUUCUUGCUCAGAAAUUUCAUCUAUCAGUCUGGGGAAUGGCACAAAUAUUGAAGCUGUUGCGAGUAGAAUAUAUGAGGGAGAGCUCAGGGUAAGGUGCAAUAAUGUUAAAGAAUUGUAGAAAAAAGGAAAAAUAAGCUAACAAUAUAUUUUGCUAAAUAGCGAAUUUGUGACUGGGU